CUCCUCCGGAGGCUGCCGGGAGCCACGGGGGAGUUUCUGCGGUUCUGUAUGGGAGACGGAGUGAGUUCUGUUUCUUUGUCGGGCCCUGGUGCUGCUGAGGCUGAGAAGCGGCUGCUGUGAGCCCUUUUGCGGUAAGGACCAGCCCAAACAGGUGAGCGGUUCGGGUAGUAAGGGGACGGUGAGCGCUCAGGAGCCGUCAGGAUCUCCGGAGCUGGCGGCUGUCGGACCCCGCUCUUCUCGGGGCCGGCGUUAGGUCGCCGCCGGGCUCCCCCGGCUGUGCGGAGCCGAUACGGCGCCGCCGCCGCCCGGCUGCCGUCGCGUUUUCGGAGGCGGCUGCCGCUCCGACCCCCGAGUCCUCGCACAGCCCCGGGGUGCUCUCAGCCCCCCUCACCCUCGGGAUUUCUUUUAGCGGGUGCUUCAGUUCUUCAGGCUCUCCUCGGUAGGAGCGAACGCGAUGGGGCCGUAUUCGUGCAGCCUCUGUGCUGCCGGGAGAGAGAAGCGAGGCCAAGGGCUGCUGAAACAAAAGGUUUCUCGUGUUGCAGGCUGAGCGAGGGCUGUAGCAGAGCCUCUCAUCGGCCCGAAGCAGUGAGCUCGUGGAAGCGGUGAGUGUUUGAGAGUCGCUCGGUAAGAUCUCCCCUGCUGGGGCUCCUGUAGGGUUGCUGCCCGACUGCCUCCGUGUCUUUGGGAUCGGCACGGCGCCGCCGCUGGGGGCUCCCGCGUGGCUUUUUAGUAGGACCGGCACGGGGCCUCCGCCCGAGACCGAGCACGAUCCCGGGGUGGCCUCGGCCACUGCGGAGUGUUUUGCGGGUGCUCUCACCCAUCCCGUUUCCAGCGGUGGGAGCGAGCAGGUUGGGACCGUGGUUUUAUUUUUCCCCGCCUCUUCCUUCCCGUGUAACUGCAGGAGCACGAUUUAGGUUCCCACCGUGGAGACCUGGCAGGGCAGCUCGCACGACUGAAGUGCUGUCGUGGAUGGCUCUGUUCCUUUUAGGAAAGGCAGACCGGCCAGGCGGUGGAGUCUCUUUUCGAGGGAGAGAACGGGAACGUAUCGAGCUCCACCUAGGGAUGACUGAAGAACCAGCGGAGCGUUUGUGCGUGAGGCUGAAGAGGCAGGUAAAAGUGGGUGACCUGAGUGGGGGUGUUGGUCACAGACCAGGGUGAGGAAGCUGAUAGACCUUCUGCACACAGCUGGAAAUGGUGCCCACAGCUGUGAGGCUAGUUCUCAUGGUAGGCUCCAGGAGUUUCCUGCAAUGUGUCAAAGGUAAGAUCUUCUGACACAGGUGACGAAGGAGGCAUUGAGGAGCUCCCUAUUGCAGAAGAGCCAUUUGGGGACAGGAAGGCCAGGGGCAGCCUGGAGCGUGCCAGUCGUGAGACCGCAGCGUUUGGGAUCUUGUGUGGAAGCUGCAAAGCAAUGAGUAGGAUUGAAACACUGGACUUAGAGGGAGCCAGGUUUGUCCUCUUGAAGGGCCUACUUGGAGGUAACCCUUGCUCAAGCAUAGGAAGGGGUCCUGUGAAUGCUGGAGCAUUACUUCAUCCAUGCUGAGGUGCACUGCGUCCCAAGGAGGAAGGAAGUGCGCAGGAAUGGUGGGGGACCUGCAGGGCUGACUGAGGAACUUGAAGGGGAGAAGGAAGAGAGAGGCUGAGGAAGGCCAAGUCCUCUGAGUAUCAGCUUUGGGAGGGAGGUCAAGGCUAAUGGAAGUUUGUCAACAGGAGAGACUGGAGAAAUUGCAGGCCUGUGCUUCACAAGGCAAGGGCCUGAGUAAUGGAGGAUGGAGGACAUGCUGGAUGCCUGUUUUGGUUUCAGUGGUCUCUGCUGAGAGUGCUCCUGGGGUCCUGGAGGAGAGAGUCUCAGAGGAAGGUUGCCUUCCCCUCAGUGCAGAGGAGCUGGUCAAAAGUGGUUCAGGCAGAAAGGAGGCCAGCAAAUGCCUGAGCUGUAGAGGGCUAUGCCUGUGCCCGCUGAGAGCUGGCAGCGGUGACCGGCAAAUGGCGCUCUCUGUCACUUUUCCCUGCUGUUUCCUGUGGGGAAAGGUACCUGAAGACUGGAGGAUGGCGGAUGCCACUGCAGCCUUCAGAAAGGGUGUGGAGGAUGGCGUGUGCAACUUGGAGGUAGGUUGGCCUCACCUCUGUUCCUGGGGAGGUGACGUAACAGCUUGUUGCAGGUGUCAUUGCCAUGUGACCGGAAGAGAAGGAAUUUGCAAGGAGCAGUCCAGGUGGAUGGACAGAGGGGAAGUCAUGCCGGACCAAAAGGGCGAGGGCUGCAGCGGAGAGCUUUGCCGAGAGGAUUGGCUGGAGCAGGUGUGCGGUUUCCCCAGCAGUGGGAUGAAGGAGGUGAGAGAGGGGGAGCCCCAGGUGGGAGCCCUCCUGGCGGAGGGCUGCCCCCAGGCGUGCCCCCUUGGAGGUGGUUUGUGGAGGUCUCUGUGCAGGUUCAGGCUGGAGGAAGGAUCCUGGUGGUGUGAGCAGGGUGCCUCUGUGGAGAGCAAGGGUGGAAGGUGCGUGGCAGGCCCUGUCCUGGAGGAGUGGAGUUGAUAGAGUGUGGCCUUCCAUGCUGGAGUGAGGGGUCCUGGUGGGGCUGAAGUCCUGUGUGGAAGAGGGAGAUCCCAGGCGCUGCGAUGCGGAGGAGGAGCGGAGCCAGCGGUGGCUCCUGUGUGGUGAUGGCUGCUUAGUGGUGGUGUUCCUGGUCCUGGGCUGAAAGGAGGAGGAGGAGAAAGCUUUUAGUGUGUUACUUCAAAGCUCAGGCUUGGAUGACCUUGCUGAGGCUGAACAAGAGUACAAAACCUGUGAGUUAAAUGGGUGGAACAAAACUACAGCUGCUGCACCUUACCGGGCCGAGAGUCGUGACCUGAUCUUCCAUCUUUUACACAAAACGAGUCAGAUCUUCAGCUUGCUGCCACGAGUAACUCACACAUUCUCCAAUUCCUCGUAUGGAAAGAAGGCUUUCUUCUAAGGGAUUAUUCCAAUGCGUAAAAUCGGUGAAUUCACCUGUACAGUAAUGAAAUACUUUCAAUAAUUUCAUGCAAAACUUUCUUUAAGCAGUGCCUUGGGCCAAUCUUUCCAUGUGAGAGCUGCAUGAGUAAAAGUUCUCCUUUCGGUCCAUUUCUGACUUAUUUUUUAUAAUUUAGUUUAAAAGUUCAAGUCAUCCAACCAAAGCUGUGACAACAGGAAUAACAGGCUCGUGGUAUAACAGCAGUAGGAUUUAGGCACCUGUGGAGGGAGAAACACUGAAGAUUUCACCGUGGGUUCAGGGUGGGCCAAACAUUAAAAUCCCUUUCUUGGUUUAAGAUCAGAAUGCACCUUUGUGGGAUUCAUUUCUUCCUUACAUCUCAGUAACCAAGUAUGCAUUGAGUGACCUACACCUUUAAGGGGGAAAAUGGUCUCAGUCAAGCGCUGGAUGAAUAUAAAUAGUAAUAAUAAAAGCCUAUCAGUAAGGAAAAGCUGAGCAUUCUUUUUGAAUGCAAACAUAAUAAUUAAUAAUAAUCAUAAUCAUAAUCUGUGGCACAGGACCCAAAGAGACCUUUUCCUCACAGUUUCACACAGCAGUUCUCUCAUCAGCUCUGAAACCAUCUACCUCUGCAACUCAGAAAGCUUUCUUUUUUUCUUUUCCUGAAAGUUCAAGGAUACGUUAUCCAUUUUCUGGGCAAGUUUAGAACUUUGGGUCUCACUUCUGCAUACACGGAUUCUUCUCUAAAGUCACUAAGACAGAACAAAACCCGAGACCCUCUUUGGACUGCAAAUCCAGAAGCAUUCGACCCUGCGGUUCUGCCAAGCAGUGUGAAACACCGUAUUUGUAUCCGCCUCACGCAGCUCCCGCCCGAGUUUUUUCUCCGCGCUGAGCAUCAGUCUGCAGUCCUCGGUAAUUCCGGUAGAGGGCAAUACAAUAAAGCCAUUCAUAGAGGGCUCUCCGAGGCAGCUGCCGUAACUGGCUCCCACAGAACGCCUCAGGCUUUCUUCUUGUUCUGGAUUGGUGUGCUAAUGCCAAAUAUUUACAAUUGAAUCUUUUUUUGAUCCCGGGAACGCUCAUACUGCUUAUUUCUUCUUUGACAGCACAAACGCACGGGCGCGUUCUCAGUGCCUGAAAACAUCUCUAUGCAAAAAUCAAGAUAUAACUCUCUUUGCUACCACUUUUUUUUUUUGUCUCAUCCUCAGCCAUCCGUUUGAAUGUAAACGUUACAGUAUACCUCACAUCCGUAAGGAGUCUUUACAUUCAGGUGUAGUUUUAAAAAGUCUCAUAGGAACCUCUUGCAGUCGAUUAAUGGGCACAUCGGAAGCAAAUCAACUGGAAGUACGGGAUGAGUGUUAUUUAAUUCUCCCUAGGGCUUUGCUAUUCACACACUCCUCUGUGCAGGUAGAUAUUCACGUGCGUAUGAAAGGAAAACUCACCUUCAAGGCGUAACAAAGGGAAACCCGCACUGGGAUCAUUCGUAGGAAAGCAUCAUUUCACAGUACAUAGGUUUAUGGAUUGUGAGAGAUAGUGAUGCAUUUGUAAGGAUGAUCCCUACGAUAAGGUUCUGUGGUUUUAUUUUCUCAAGUCUAGACGUAUUUAGUCAAUAAUGAUUUCUUCAAAAGAUAGCCACAUCUCCAAGACAAGAACAGAACGGCCACGUGGCAGAUUUCACACAACCUCACAACAGUACCAUGAACUAUACGGGAGUUUCAUAAUUCAUGAAGGAACAAUAUUCCCUCCCGGGCACUAAAACUAGUCCAGAUAACACCAAGAACAGCUGAAAAGCCGGACAGUGUGAUUUCCCCUCUCCUCAAGUAUAGAGAGACACAAGUAUGAAACAGCUGGAAAACAUAUUCAAAGGAUGACAGGCACCACGUCACAGCAGAAGUGCCAGGUAAGCUCAGCGCAAAACAGUCCCUUUACUUCUUUCAUUCUUUCUUUCAUUUGUAACCAGAUUCAUGAGUGGAUGGAAAUGCUUGACAAAGUGAUAAUGAAUCUCUCUGAACGUUUACAUGGUUCCCAUCAGUGCAAAGACUCACCCAGUGCUAAAAGUAAUUC
ensembl:lncRNA